CAUUUCUGUGAAAGAUAAAUUCAUUCUUAUGUAAUUUGUUGACCCAUUUGAAAUUUAAAGUCAUAUCUAAAUAUAUUUUAUUACAAACUCAGAUAGCUCCUGUUUCAGGUGUGUUCAUUUUCUAAGGAAAUCACAGCACUCGUUAUGAUGCUUUAAUAAAAUUAUUUUUUUCUUCUAAUAAUGUGAUUGUGAAUAUUCAUCUCUAAAUUAUUUUUUUAAAUUCAUAUAACUGCAGUAUUUAUGCCCAUCAUGCAUUGCAUUUUUAGAUUUUUCCUGAAGAGCCCAUUAAAUAAUGUUUCUAGUCUAGAGCAGUCUGGGAGCCACGGCCCUCAAGUCCUGCAAGUCACCUCAAAGUGUGCUCUUAGCUGGCAACGGGGUGUACCUGGGCAGAGUGGGGAAGUACUUCGGAAGAGUAAUCUUCUGGUAGGGUCACCCAAGGCAUGAAGGCCACUCCAUCAUGUUGAGAAGCUGCUUGCUUCCUCCUCCUUAUGGUUUUGUUGAUAUUCCCUUAUGGAAUUCAUAUAUCUAUUAAGAUUAUUUUCUUGCAGUAAAAUAAUUUUUUUUCUGAUCCUAAAAGGGUUAAAUUUUUAUCUUCCUUUGGUAAAGAAAGCUAUAAAUAUGCCAUCUGUACUUCUGAUUAAUACUGCUGCAGUCUAUACACUCUUUUUUGGUCUGCCUGCCUUGGAAGCAAGUUGCUGUAAUUCAUAAGAAUAUCAAAUAAAACAAUUUUUCAAAAAUGCAACCUAAUAUUCUGAUGUUUUUCUUUAUUAUUUUGCAUAUAUAUGUAUGAAGCUGCUACUUUAAGAGACUUUUUUAUGCAUAUUUUCAUUUUGAACACUUUUUUUUAUGUUUGGAUUUUGUAUAGUUUGAUAAUUUUAGAAGAAAGAUUUUAUUCCUCAAUAAAGAUUCUUCCAUCUUAUUUACUAAAAUACAUAUUCAUGAGAAUUAUCAAUUUAAGUAACAAUUUUUAUAGGAAAAACAAAAAGGUGCAAAAUUGAAUUUAAGAAUUUAAAAGUGAUACUUUAAAAAAAAAAAUUUCUUGUAAACGAGUUAUACUAAAGGCAAGUGUUGCACCCCCCCCCCACACACACACACACUCCCAAAAAAAAAAAAAGACUCAAUAAGAUUUUGACAAAUCCUCCUUGCAAAGAAUACAAUUUUUAGAAUUAUGUCCGUUUUUGAAUAUAACAAUUCUAAAUAAUAAUAACAUUGUUGAUUUUAUCAAAUUUUGAGUGAAAUUUGUUCAUAGGAAUUCUAUCUGCAUAAAUAUGAAUGCAAUAAUCUGAGAACUAGAAGCAUUACAUUUACUAUGUCAUUUUGUCAUUGGCAUCAUAGAUCUGUGUCAUAGUGUGGGCUAAAUUCAACAAAGAGUUAACUAUUUGUCAAUCUGUGUACUUGUCAUUAUGUGAAUGCAAUAAUUAAAAAAUGUGACCUGUUAUAUAAAGGAUAUCUGUUACUAAAAUUGUAUAUCAAAUAUUGAUUCUAUCGGGAAAAAAAGAAAAUACUCAAAAUGAUUACUCAGUUUUCUUCAUUGUAAUACAAAACAGGAAAUGCAUAAUAUUGUGUUAAUAUAAAGUAAAAAACAAAACAAAAAAAACUGUUGAGUUUUGAGGGGGGGUUUUUUUCCAACUUUCAAUUCUUUAGUUUUUUAAAACUUAAAAAAUAGAUCUACCAAAAUUGUUUCUUUUACACCCUGCAUACCCUAAGGUUGACCUUAGGUAACAGAGAAGGAGAAAAUAAUCUUUUCAUUAGUUUCCUUUAUGAAAGUAGAUAUUAUUCAUCUGAUGUGUACUAACAUGAAUAUAUUUUUUUAGGUACUUCAUCUCAAAUGAAAAGGAAAAUUGGAUCAUCCUCAGAAGAAUUGUCACUGAAAUUUCGAGAACAUUUUAAACGGAUUUUGAAUCUAGAGAACAUUACAGAUUAUUAUAAAAAAGACUUAAUUAAACUCACUUUGGAUAAACUUCUUAAUUUAUAUAUAAAAUCUAUCAAGAAGAUGCCUACAAAUAUAAUGAUAUGAAGCAUCACAUAAUGAAUGAAGGUGAAAUUUUUUCUUUGCCUAUGAUAAUCCUUCUUGGACCAUGGAGUACUGGCAAAUCUACUCUUAUUAAUUAUAUUCUUGGAAUUAAAAAUUCAUCUGUUUCUUUAGAUGGUGGAGCUCAGGCAACGACAUCUGACUUCACUAUAUUAGGACACAGUAAUGAACCUAAAAUUGUUGAUAGAAAUAUUUUAGUCAUGGAGAAAUAGUAUUCAAAUUUAGAAAAGUAUGGAAAAGUUUUCCUUGAAAGGUUGAAAAGCUUUCAAAUUUCAAAUAGCAUCUUGAAGUUGGUUAAUUUUGUUGAUACUCCUGGAGUUAUUGAGAAUGGAAAAUAGCAAGAAAGAGGCUUUUCUUUUGAUGAAAUUUGCCAAUGAUGGAUUUGCCAGCCUUACACUUUUCAAGGCACCAGAGGAAUAUUGUUGUAAAUGGUGUGAAAAUUGUUAAUACUAAGAAAUUACUUGCAUAGGUGAAAAUACCCGUAGAAAAUAAAUGAUUAUUACACAAAUACCUAUUAUUAAUAUUAUUGAUUAUUUCAUCCUUAUUUCUAAUACUACCUCAAAUGAAUAUUCCGUACAAAAAAUUUCUAAUACAACUCAACCUUCAUAUUUCUGCAUAUCCAUUGGCUAUGAGAAAAAAAAGCAUGUAUUCUAUUUUUCUAAAUUUAGUUAUUUUUCAUAAUAAACUGCAUUUACUAUAA